GAUGAAGAACGCAGCGAAAUGCGAUAAGUAAUGUGAAUUGCAGAAUUCAGUGAAUCAUCGAAUCUUUGAACGCACAUUGCGCCCCCUGGUAUUCCGGGGGGCAUGCCUGUCCGAGCGUCAUUACAACCCUCAAGCUCAGCUUGGUGUUGGGCCCCGCCGCCCCGGCGGGCCCUAAAGUCAGUGGCGGUGCCGUCCGGCUCCGAGCGUAGUAAUUCUUCUCGCUCUGGAGGUCCGGUCGUGUGCUCGCCAGCAACCCCCAAUUUUUUUCAGGUUGACCUCAGAUCAGGUAGGGAUACCCGCUGAACUUAAGCAUAUCAAUAAGCGAGGA
rnacentral:misc_RNA from 1 species